rnacentral:lncRNA from 1 species
UUUGGAGCCAGCAAGAGGCCGGGGAUGGGUCUGGGGGUCUCUCCAGAGCCCUCUUCUCUCUCUGUGCCUUCACUCUCCUUCUCUGACAGGACUUCCGACAUCUUUUCUCAUUAGAAUUAAUGGAGAACUAUCCCCAAAGCUAUUAAGUCAUAGUGCUCUGAAAUUGCUGAAACAGAAUAAUUUCUCCUUCAUUCUAGGGUGUAAAUCUUG